CUAACAUAAAACUACAACCCUUCAUAUUCACUCCGAAAUCCUUUACUCCGUGGGUAGUUGGAGGGGAAAAUGGAGGGGAGAGCGACGUCUCGUCAGCUUACCCCUAGGCUCUCUUGAUUAUCUGUGAGAGCUAAGGAAAUACAU
rnacentral:snoRNA from 1 species